UACAGAGGGGGCAAGCGUUGUUCGGAAUUACUGGGCGUAAAGGGCGCGUAGGCGGCCUUCUAAGUCGAACGUGAAAUCCCCGGGCUCAACCCGGGAACUGCGUCCGAGACUGGAAGGCUCGAAUCCGGGAGAGGGAUGUGGAAUUCCAGGUGUAGCGGUGAAAUGCGUAGAUAUCUGGAGGAACAUCGGUGGCGAAGGCGGCAUCCUGGACCGGUAUUGACGCUGAGGCGCGAAAGCUAGGGGAGCAAACAGG
rnacentral:rRNA from 1 species